UACGUAGGAGGCGAGCGUUGUCCGGAAUUACUGGGCGUAAAGGGCUCGUAGGCGGCCAACUAAGUCAGACGUGAAAUCCCUCGGCUUAACCGGGGAACUGCGUCUGAUACUGGAUGGCUUGAGUUUGGGAGAGGGAUGCGGAAUUCCAGGUGUAGCGGUGAAAUGCGUAGAUAUCUGGAGGAAUACCGAUGGCGAAGGCAGGUCUCUGGGCUGACACUGACGCUCAUGCACGAAAGCGUGGGGAGCAAACAGG
rnacentral:rRNA from 1 species